rnacentral:rRNA from 1 species
CUACGGGUCGCUCCAGUGGGGAAUAUUGCACAAUGGGGGAAACCCUGAUGCAGCAACGCCGCGUGAAGGAAGAAGGUUUUCGGAUCGUAAACUUCUAUCAGCAAGGAAGAUAAUGACGGUACUUGACUAAGAAGCCCCGGCUAACUACGUGCCAGCAGCCGCGGUAAUACGUAGGGGGCAAGCGUUAUCCGGAAUUACUGGGUGUAAAGGGAGCGUAGACGGUAAUAUAAGUCAGAUGUGAAAGCCCGAGGCUCAACCUCGGGACUGCAUUUGAAACUGUAUAACUAGAGUACAGGAGAGGAAAGUGGAAUUCCUAGUGUAGCGGUGAAAUGCGUAGAUAUUAGGAGGAACACCAGUGGCGAAGGCGACUUUCUGGACUGUAACUGACGUUGAGGCUCGAAAGCGUGGGGAGCGAACAGGAUUAGAUACCCCAGUAGUC